GGAUGGGAUGCAAUUGAGGGAAGCUGAACCCACAGGAGUGUCACUGAGAACACAGGUGCAGAUGCCAAUGCAUGGUGAGUUUUCAUUUUUGCAUCGCAAUUGUGUUCUCAGGUCACCCCUUUGGGUUGCUUCCCUUGAUUCCAUGGCCAGGUUAUGUGUCAUG